rnacentral:rRNA from 1 species
UGGGGAAUAUUGCACAAUUGGCGCAAGCCUGAUGCAGCCAUGCCGCGUGUAUGAUGAAGGCCUUCGGGUUGUAAAGUACUUUCAGCGGGGAGGAAGGGAGUAAAGUUAAUACCUUUGCUCAUUGACGUUACCCGCAGAAGAAGCACCGGCUAACUCCGUGCCAGCAGCCGCGGUAAUACGGAGGGUGCAAGCGUUAAUCGGAAUUACUGGGCGUAAAGCGCACGCAGGCGGUUUGUUAAGUCAGAUGUGAAAUCCCCGGGCUCAACCUGGGAACUGCAUCUGAUACUGGCAAGCUUGAGUCUCGUAGAGGGGGGUAGAAUUCCAGGUGUAGCGGUGAAAUGCGUAGAGAUCUGGAGGAAUACCGGUGGCGAAGGCGGCCCCCUGGACGAAGACUGACGCUCAGGUGCGAAAGCGUGGGGAGCAAACAGG